AACGCACAUUGCGCUCUCUGGUAUUCCGGAGAGCAUGCCUGUUUGAGCGUCAUUAAAACCUCUCAAUCAUUUGAAUGUUUGCGCAUGCGAAUGGUUGGUGUUGGACACUGUGCGCAGCGCCUUUUGGGGGAGCUGUGCUUGUCUGAAAGAUAUUGCAACGAAAACGUAAUAAGAAAUUACCUCGUGAUCGGAUUGCACAUUCUGGGCGGCAGAUCUGAUCGAUCUGGCGUCUACUUCUAAUUUUGACCUCAAAUCAGGUAGGACUACGCGCUGAACUUAA
rnacentral:misc_RNA from 1 species